UGGAGUUGUCCUUUUGGAACCUUUUAGAUUCUUGAGAAUGUAUUUACUGUAUUCAAUCGAAUUGUUUGUUUACUAUAAGCACACUAAAUAAAGCUAAUCAUUGCUUCCAUGGUCGCUAUAUAUACCCAAAGUAGAAGCUGGUCUCUGCUCUUGUUCUACUCUCUCUAGGUUUGAAGCUGUGAAGGCAUCCAUGGGAGACUCCAAGGAGGGUAAAAACAAUGGCAACAGCAGUGGAUGGAUGGCGGUGCCGGCGUUCGGGGAGUGGGACAUGAAGAACGGGGUGCCGGAUUACUCCAUGGACUUCACCAAGAUUCGGGAGAUGCGGAAGCAGAACAAGCACCCCUCCCGGGCCAGCCUCGGCAACGACGACGAGCUCCAGCUCCCCUCCAACAACAACAACAACAACAACAACGAGGGGGAGGCGGAGGAGGAGCCCCGCCGCCGCCGCCACCGCCAUGGCUCCCCCACAGGGAGGAAGAAGAAGUUGAUGGGCUGCUUGCGGUGCUGUACAGGUGCAUGAGGACAGUCACACUCACUGCUGAUGACUCAGUGCUCCUUCUCUUCGCUAACAAAAAUGAUUAAACUCGUAGCAUACGAUCAACACGCUUGUGGAGUUGAGAGUCCUAGCAAGGCGGCAUGUAGCGAGGUGGAGACAGCACCUUCUCCUUUGGGCCUUCGCCAUCCUUCACUAUCAACACGGUGUUCAUUCCCCAAA